CUUCCCCACCACCACCUUGAGAGGGGGUGAGGACAAUCAGCAGGCGUGGGGAACCCAAAAGCUUUUGCUUUGAUUCACAGGUAUUUCAGUUUGUUUUUAGAGAAAGCAUGUAGAUUUUCUUCUUAGAGUCUGCCUUUGUGUGUCAGAUUCAAUAUCCCUAACACCAUUGUUUUGGGGAGCAGAAGGAGGGAGCAUCAUGAACCUGCAGAAUGAGGUUAUGGUGGGAUUAUCCCGAGAGAUACAGGAGGAGGAACAUGCAUUUCUGCAUUGAAGCAGAGUACACAGGGCUUAGGUUUCCAGAGCCCUUUUUAGGGGUGCCGUGAGAACCAUGAGGAUGCAGCUGAAGCCCACCUGGCCACGGGUGGCCCCACACCUUGCUCGCGGCCCAGAGCUCUCCCCCACUUGGCUGCACCCAGUGCUAGCCGCUGACCCCUGGGGACGCAGCCAAGAUAGGGCUAGUGGUCACCUUAGAAUAGGGCAGGGGCUGGGGCUGGGGCUGGGGCUGGAAUGGGGCACAGAAUAACCAUCCUCUUCACAGCUCAACAGGGCCUUUUGUUCUGUUUUUACAUUUAAUACUGUGAUUCCAGUAGACAUCUACCUGAUCCAAAGUUACAAUGUCCCAGAGUAGUCCACAGACUGUGAAUCUGAGACCUUUCACAUAACCUAGCCAAACGGUUCUGAGCUGUCAUGAUCCAGAAAAAAU
rnacentral:lncRNA from 1 species